AGCGAACGCUGGCGGCAGGCUUAACACAUGCAAGUCGAGCGGGCACUUCGGUGUCAGCGGCAGACGGGUGAGUAACACGUGGGAACGUACCCUUUGGUUCGGAAUAACGCUGGGAAACUAGCGCUAAUACCUGAUACGCCCUUUUGGGGAAAGGCUUGCUGCCGAAGGAUCGGCCCGCGUCUGAUUAGCUAGUUGGUGGGGUAAUGGCCUACCAAGGCGACGAUCAGUAGCUGGUCUGAGAGGAUGAUCAGCCACACUGGGACUGAGACACGGCCCAGACUCCUACGGGAGGCAGCAGUGGGGAAUAUUGGACAAUGGGCGCAAGCCUGAUCCAGCCAUGCCGCGUGAGUGAUGAAGGCCUUAGGGUUGUAAAGCUCUUUUGUCCGGGACGAUAAUGACGGUACCGGAAGAAUAAGCCCCGGCUAACUUCGUG
rnacentral:rRNA from 1 species